rnacentral:lncRNA from 1 species
GACCAAUGUAUCGGGGAGUGAGUUUAUUUGAUAUCAUUCUACCAAUUCCAAUUGCAGUUGUUGUGUGAAUUUCAUUCUACCAAUUCCAAUUGUUGUCUGAAUUUCAAGAAUACAUGAUUACCUUCUCAAAACUUAAGAGGUUGUUUUUUUUUUGUCAGCAUAACUUUUUUGUUUAUUUUAAGUCGUUCUCAAUUUUUCUCUAGUCAUUUUGAUUUUCUCUAUUGUUUGUUGAAUCUUGUCAAGACCUAGGAUUAAAGUUUCUCCAAUCUCAAACCAACACAAAGGUAUCCU